UACGUAGGGUGCAAGCGUUAAUCGGAAUUACUGGGCGUAAAGCGUGCGCAGGCGGCUAUGCAAGACAGAUGUGAAAUCCCCGGGCUCAACCUGGGAACUGCAUUUGUGACUGCAUAGCGUAGAGUACGGUAGAGGGGGAUGGAAUUCCGCGUGUAGCAGUGAAAUGCGUAGAUAUGCGGAGGAACACCGAUGGCGAAGGCAAUCCCCUGGACCUGUACUGACGCUCAUGCACGAAAGCGUGGGGAGCAAACAGG
rnacentral:rRNA from 1 species